GGGAUAGUAGUUUAACUUGGCUAGAGCAGUCGGCUCCAACCCGACAGAUCGGGGUUCAAAUCCCUGCUAUCCCA
rnacentral:tRNA from 1 species